GCUCUUGUGGCCUAGUGGAUAAGACGUCGGUAUUCUAAACCGAGGAUUGUAGGCUCGAGCCUCACCAAGGGCA